GGUGAUUGUGAGUCUGGUGCAUG
rnacentral:miRNA from 9 species